AAUCCAUGGUGGGGGAUAUCACGUUCAUACUCUUUAAAACGUUCCCAAGCUUCAUAAAAAAUUGACCGGUCCUUGCUGGAAACUUUGGAUUUUGUUUCUCAGUGGUU
rnacentral:snoRNA from 1 species